rnacentral:rRNA from 1 species
CCCGGGCCUUGUACACACCGCCCGUCACACCAUGGGAGUGGGCUGCAAAAGAAGUGGGUAGUUUAACCUUUCGGGGAGGACGCUCACCACUUUGUGGUUCAUGACUGGGGUGAAGUCGUAACAAGGUAGCCCUAGGGGAACCUGGGGCUGGAUCACCUCCUUAUACGAAGAUA